GAUCUUUUGCACAGUUUGAAGUGGUGUUUGAAUAUGUAUUUUCUCUGCACACCUGAAUUAGAAUAGACUGAUAUCUGUGAACCAUAUGGAACAGCCACAUGGCUCUCCACAUGUGCUUGGACACCACAGUGUGUCAUGGUACUGCAUGCUAAUUCAAAUUGUUUGGUGUUAGCUGUCUGUGUCUCCGACUCCCUCAGAAUGGAGAAGGUUCUUUGCUUUCUACAAAGUUUAAUACUGCUGCUAACAACUCAGGCCUUGUGACCUUGCUGACUGAUUGGACCAAUAAGACCUGGAAUUAUCAAGAUGCUGCGGAGACCAUGCAUUCUGAUGCCAGACUGAGAUGAAAGCAAACCCAUAGCCCUGGCCAGUUCUUUUUAAAAGUCAUCUGAAAUGAAGAAGAAACACCAGGGGUUGAAAGGUUUAACCAGGCAGGGUGGGCAGACUGGGGAGAAUGGAACAGGGCAGGUCAACCAAACUCCAAGACACUCUUAAGGAAAUAGGAUAGGUGCGUGUAAAAAGUGAAUGGUGAACCCCUAGUGGUAAGACAAAGUUAAAGCUUUAAACGUGUUCAAUUCAAUUACAUCUUCCUGGAUCAUGAUAAAGCAGCAAAGAAAUCUCUGUUAAUAGCCCGAGGUUAAACAGACUAUCCUAGCGCUCUUGAUGAGUUUAGAGUUUAAGUAGGACAUUUUUAUAUUUCAGCGUGUUCCAGCUUUCUGGCCAACACUCAAAUAUCUGUCAUGAUGGAAGGAAGGGGAGCUGGCUCAAGGAUAAUGAGCUUUGGACUUUGCAGUAGGAACUGUGGGGCUCCCAUUCCAGUGAGCCACUUACCUGGCAAGUCUGAGUGACCAACGCAGGGAAGGGUUGUCUUUUCAGAUUUUAGUUUGGUCACCAUAUGGAUUUGUGAGCGUGAAAAAAUACAAGUACCACUUACUGCAAAGUUCUACUGUUCAUAGGGAUUUCUCAGAUAUUUUUCUACUUGUAAAGAAACUUCACAUUUAUAGUAGAAACCAGUAGAAGUUCAUUACUUGGGUGAUUUUGGAGGGUAAUUAUACUAAAACAUUAGUAACUAAUGACUGUGCUUGUUAUCUGUAAUCUAGAUCAUAGUGUAUGUUGAGACAAUAUCAUAUCAACAUAUUAAUAUGUGAUGCAAUCUAGAAUCACCGGAGAAGAGGGUCUCAAUGAGAGACUUUAGUUUAGGUUUUCUCUGGCCAUGUAUGUGGGUAUUCAACUUGAUUACGUUAAUUGAGGCAUGAAGGUUUUCCUAUCAUGGGUUUUAGACUAAGCUUAUGCAUGAGGAUUUGAGCAAGAAGAAGAGUUCCAAGAAGAGUUGUGCAGCCUCAAUUUUUUUUAAUGCUUGAACAACAUGGAGAAGGCACACCAUGCUCCUGAAGAACUUGAUUCCCUAGGCAUGGGCCAUGGAUGGUGGUGUAAGAGUAGAGAAAGAAAUCCUAGUGCAGGUUUGCCCACUUUUAUUCUCUCUCUGCUCUUGAUUAGCUAUGCUUACUGAGCUAUGUACUGAUGUGACUGGCUCCUUUAAAUUCCUCCAACAUUCUCCAGUGAUGGACUGUAACCUGAAACUGAGCCCAACCAAACCUUUCUUUCUCAAAGUUGGUUUUGCCAGGGUAUUUUAGCAGUGCCAUCUGGAAAUGAAAUGAAAACAACUACCAUGUAAGAUAUUAAUAACACCAAUUAAGUUAACCUUUAAAAAAGCUUUGAAAUUGUUAUUAUCAUUAUGCUCGUUUUAGAAGUAAACCCAUAUCCGUGACU